UGUCCAACCUGAAUGCAUGCAAUCUCGUCUGAUCUCGGAAGCUAAGCAGGGUUGGGCCUGGUUAGUACUUGGAUGGAUCUGUUAACUUUAAUUGCUUGGUUUUAAAGACAC
rnacentral:rRNA from 1 species